GUCGUGUCUUGGUUGUGAGCGAGCGAGGACUGUACGUGCGUCCUCCGAGGCUGAUCAAUGGUGAUGAAUCAGCAGUGAUGACUUUGUGAAGAAACGAGUGAAAAUAAUAAGAAAAAUAUUUAAAAAACAAACGUACAAGACACAGGGAAGAAAG
rnacentral:lncRNA from 1 species